AAAAAAAACCCUAAGGUCUCGUCUUUCUAUAAGAGAAAAGAAUCAUCUUAAGGGGGAAGGCGACAGGUGUUUGAUCAUCAAGCAAGGAAUCCCAAGUGACUUCGAGGAGGUGUCGUGAUUGGUAUUCUGAUAGUCUUUCGGAUUUGAAGACUCGGGAUUAGGUGGAAUUGAGGAUUGUCAAAUUCUUAGAACGAAGCAAAGAAUAAUUCGAGAUUGUUAUUGUCUUCUAGGCGAAGGUUAAAUAAAGUCUUUAAUGUUUAGAUGAUGAAUUGAGAGUUUGUAAUAAUGAGAUUCUUUCUUUAGGUUGAGAUUUAUUUGGAGUUGAGGAAUAUUUAUUUUUAUCAAGUUAAUUGGCUUAGUUGACUUUUGGGAUUAUAGAGAAUAUUUGUUGUUGGUUUUAGUUCAAUGAAGAGAUUUGUUUUAGUGUUCUUUUAA